rnacentral:rRNA from 1 species
GACGAAGGUUGCGAGCGUUGUUCGGAAUCACUGGGCUUAAAGCGCAUGUAGGCGGACAAGAAAGCGUUUUGUGAAAUACCCCGGCUUAACCGGGGAAUUGCUUGGCGAACUUCUUGUCUUGAGGCAAGCAGGGGUGCAUGGAACUCUUGGUGGAGCGGUGGAAUGCGUAGAUAUCAAGAGGAACGCCAGCGGAGAAAUCGGUGCACUGGGCUUGUUCUGACGCUGAGAUGCGAAAGCGUGGGGAGCAAAC